CCUACGGUGUGCUGCAGUGGGGAAUGUUGGACAAUGGGCGCAAGCCUGAUCCAGCUAUUCCGCGUGUGGGAUGACGGCCCUCGGGUUGUAAACCACUUUAGUCGAGAACGAAAAGGAGCUAGCGAAGAAAGAGCUCUGCUGACGGUACUCUAAGAAGAAGCACCGGCUAACUACGUGCCAGCAGCCGCGGUAAGACGUAGGGUGCGAGCGUUAAUCGGAAUUACUGGGCGGAAAGGGUGUGCAGGCGGCUGUGUAAGACAGUUGUGAAAUCCCCGGGCUUAACCUGGGAACCGCAUAUGUGACUGCUUGGCUAGAGUGCGUCAGAGGGAGGUGGACUUCCCCGUGUAGCCG
rnacentral:rRNA from 1 species